GCGACUCGGCAAUGGAUAUCUCGGCUCGUGAUCGAUGAAGAACGCAGCAAAAUGCGAUACUUGGUGUGAAUUGCGAGAAUCCCGCGAACCAUCGAGUCUUUGAACGCAAGUUGCGCGAAGCCAUCCGGCCGAGGCACGCGUUUGCUCGGGUGUCA